rnacentral:rRNA from 1 species
UGAGGAAUAUUGCGCAAUGGGGGCAACCCUGACGCAGCAACGCCGCGUGAGUGAGGAAGGUUUUCGGAUUGUAAAGCUCUGUCGAGCGGAAAGAAAUGCUUGGUGGUUAAUACCCAUCAUGCUUGACGGUACCGCUAGAGGAAGCACCGGCUAACUCCGUGCCAGCAGCCGCGGUAAUACGGGGGGUGCAAGCGUUGUUCGGAAUCAUUGGGCGUAAAGCGCGUGUAGGCGGCUUGACAAGUCAGAUGUGAAAUCCCUGGGCUUAACCCAGGAAGUGCAUUUGAAACUGUCUAGCUUGAGUAAGGGAGAGGAAAGUGGAAUUCCUGGUGUAGAGGUGAAAUUCGUAGAUAUCAGGAGGAACACCGGUGGCGAAGGCGACUUUCUGGCCCUAUACUGACGCUGAGACGCGAAAGCGUGGGUAGCAAACA